rnacentral:misc_RNA from 1 species
UUUUUUUCAAGAACGAACUAUAAAAAUUACCCCAAAAACAACCAAGGUUGAAAGUUACACGUCUUUGACGCAUUAAUCGCUUAAGAAAAUACAGCAUUCUGCCACCUCCUAUUUCAAGUCGAAACUCUAAAUAACAACGCACCAUUCAACACUUAAUUACAAAAAUGGUAGCAAUCGGCUGGUCAGAAUUAAUAAAGGCUGCUGAAGAAAAAAGAAAGGAGAAAGACUUUGUUACACAAUUACUUAUGUGGUGUAAACUUCCUAAUCAACUAUAUUACGUCAGCUAGACUGUUCGAAACUCGAAGUGGUAAACUGAAGGUUUAGCUUUUGGGGAAGAACCGAAGCUUGCUUAAGGGACUUGUGUUUUUCUUCACUAGAUUGGGAUUGCAAUUUCUCAGACCGAAAAUGAGUCUCAU